ensembl:lincRNA
CCUCAGUGCUCUGUUUAUCUGAGGACUUUGACAUAGGAAUACUUAUGUGCUCUUUGGUUAACAUAGCACAGACUUUGUUUCAUGUAUUAUUUGGAGGGUUUUGAGGUGAGAACCUGAUUGUGUUAACAUGCUAGCAAGGCUUCAGAAGCAUUACUGAUUGCAAGUGCAUUAGAAGCUGUGGCAUGUUUAAGAUUUGUGAAGACUCACUGGGCGGCCCUGAAGUUACCUCCAGCUGUUUCUGUUGCAGGACUUUUUGUGUCAAAUAGAAAGGUACUGUAGGCAGUGCCAUUUGACCACACCGAUCAUGUUUCCCCCCGAGCACCCCGUGGAAGAGGUCGGUCGCUUGCUGUUACAUUGCUUCUUAAAACAUGAAGAUUUAGGUAAGGAGCUCAAUAUCUGUGUACUUUAGCUAGACUGCAGAUUCCUCGACUAACCUGUGGUACAUAUUCAUUCCUUCCCUGUCCUUCUUUUAAAUGUCUUUUUGCAGGUCAUGUGGCAUUAUCUUUAGUUCAUGCAGGUGCACUUGAUACUGAGCAAAUAAAGCACAGAACGUUGCCUAAGUCAGUGGUGGAUGUUUGUAGAGUUGUCUAACAAGCAAAAUGUUCGCUCAUUAAGACUCAUCAAGAACAGGGCCGUUCUUACAAGGAGGUCUGCACUCCUGUCAUCGAACGUUUGAGAUUCCUCUUUAAUGAAUUGAGACCUGCUGUUUGUAAUGACUUCUCCAUAAUCUCUAAGUUUAAAUUGUUAAGUUCUUUGCCCUGUUGGAGGAGGAUAGCUCAGAAGAUAAUUCGGGAACGGAGGAAAAAGAGAAGUAAGAAUGUAAAAGGACAGAAGAUACUAUUAAAGCAUGUGCUUCACCCUGCCUCGCUGGACCUGUGAUUUCAGAGUGAAGUUUCUCUACUGUUGAUUCCAUGUGACAUUUCUACCUGCUGCCAUCAUUUUUAUGUAUAGUUAUGAUUAAAUACGGAAAUCUCACUUAUUUUUUCAACCGAUCAGACAAUGAGGCAGUUUAGGAAUUGAGUGUGGUAUGAUUUGAUUACUAGUAAAUUGAUGUUGAAAACGUAAAUAAUCUUUGCUAAAUUGAUGGGAACAAGGAUGUAUUUUUAUUUUAUUAGUUAUACUGGUAAUGAGAUAUAAUGGGAACAUUUAAACUUAUUGCCAUUCUUCUAAAGAAAUGUUUUUUGUUUGGAAAUAUUGAGUAUUCUGAUACAUGGAGAAUUAUAAAGGGAAGCUGAAAGAGUUACUGACAUUUUCCUGGAAGUAGCUGUGUAAGAGUACAGAAAAGUCUUUUUGCAUUAAAUCCAAAUUUGAAUAAAAAUGCUUAGAAAUUAUAAAAUAGUUUAGAAUUUAGUCACUUGUGAUUAUACAUAAACUACAGAAAUUUCUGAUUAUAUCCUUUUUUUUUUCUUUGAGACGGGGUCUUGCUCUGUCGCCAGGCUGGAGUGCAGUGGUACAAUCUCAGCUCACUGCAACCUCCGCCUCCCAGGUUCAAAUGAUUCCCCUGCCUCAGCCUUCCAAGUAGCUGGGAUUACAGGCAUGCGCCACCACGCCUGAUUAAUUUUUGUAAUUUAGUAGAGACGGAGUUUCACCAUGUUGGCCAGGAUGAUCUUGAUCUCCUGACCUUGUUAUCUGCCUGCCUCGGCCUCCCAAAGUGCUGGGAUUACAGGCAUGAGCCACCCCGCCUGGCCUCUGAUCAUGUUCUUAUGACUUAUACUGAUUUACUCACAAACCUGCUUAUUGAACAGUAUUAAUUACUCAGUUUCUGAUGGGCAUUUUGAACAAUAAGCUUAUGAGAGACUAAAGCGUUUUAGAAGCCAUCCUAAUUUGAUUGUUCCUGAACAAACCCUACACCAUAACAGCCUGUCGGAAUCCGAUGGGUGCUCUGGAUCAGGAAGUCACAGCAGUCACACUGCUGCAAUUCCUUUAACCCAGGCAUGCAGGAACUCAGCCCGGGCCCAGGAGACAGGCCUGCCUCAGCACGAGGGAGAGAGACUCCACCAUUUGCCAUUUCAUAUCCAUGGGUUCUGAGCCCACACUGUCACUUUUAGAGUUUCUUGUGGGUUUAUAGAUUUAUUGUGUGUUGUUUCAAGCUGGUUUUCUUUUUUUUUUUUGAAAUUAAGUAACUUAAAAAGAUUAAGUGAUUAAUAUUCCUGUUGCUGUGUCAGGGAUCGCCAAGCCUUCUCUCAGGCUUGAUGAUUCACCAAAAGGACUCAGAAGAGCUGUUAUACUCACAGCUGUGGUUUUUUUUUUUUUUUUUUUUACCGCAAAAAGGAUACAGAUUAAAAUUAGCAAAGGGAAGGGUGCAUGGAGGGAAGUCCAGAGGAAACUAGGCACAAGCUUUGGUGUCUCUCCCUAGUGGCGUCACGUGGAUGUGCUUAGCUCUCCCAGCAACAGUGGGUCACAUCAUGUGUGAAGAAUUGUUAACCAGGCCAGCGCACCUGAACCUCGAGUCUAGAGAUUUUGUUGGGGGCCAGUCACAUACGCAGGCAGUGCCCAUGUGACUGACCUCAAUUACUUACACUCCAGUGCCCCAGUGCAAAAACAAGUGGUCCCUCGCAAGUCACAUCAUUAGCAUAAACUGCCUGGCCAGACCACUGCCACAAGGUCCUGGGUGUCAGGUAUACCAAAAAACUUAUCAGGCAGGAUGUUCCAAGGCCUCAGAGCUCAGCUCCUAGAAGAAGGACCAAUCCUGAAGAGACCGACCUUCCUUGGGAAUUUGCAGUGUUUGAGCAACCCCGGCCUGCUAUGUUAGCUCUUUACUGCCCAGGUAUAUUAUCAUGUUGCUUAUUUUUUAUAUUAUAUGCUGAGGAGAUUUAGACCAAAAAUUUUAAAAGAG